rnacentral:rRNA from 1 species
CCUACGGGGGGCAGCAGUGGGGAAUAUUGCACAAUGGGGGAAACCCUGAUGCAGCGACGCCGCGUGAGCGAUGAAGUUUUUCGGUAUGUAAAGCUCUAUCAGCAGGGAAGAAAAUGACGGUACCUGACUAAGAAGCCCCGUCUAACUACGUGCCAGCAGCCGCGGUACUACGGAGGGAGCAAGCGUUAUCCGGAUUUACUGGGUGUAAAGGGGGCGUAGACGGCGGUGCAGGCCAGAUGUGAAAGCCCGGGGCUCAACCCCGGGACUGCAUUUGAAACUGUGAUGCUAGAGUGUCGGAGAGGCAGGCGGAAUGCCUGGUGUAGCGGUGAAAUGCGUAGAUAUUAGGAAGAACACCAGUGGCGAAGGCGGCCUGCUGGAUGAUGACUGACGUUGAGGCUCGAAAGCGUGGGGAGCGAACAGGAUUAGAUACCCUUGUAGUC